rnacentral:rRNA from 1 species
GGCCUUUUGUUUAUAUAAAAGGUCUGGCCUGCCCUAUGAUGAUAUUAAAUGGCUGCAGUAUUUUGACUGUACAAAGGUAGCAUAAUCAUUUGUCUUUUAAUUGGAGGCUGGAAUGAAUGGUCGGAUGAGAAAUAUACUUUCUUUAUUUUAUAUAAAAAAAUUAAUUUUUUAGUCAAAAAGCUAAGAUUUUAUUAUGGGACGAGAAGACCCUAUAGAGCUUCAUUUUUGGAUUUAUAUAAUUUUUUAGUUUAUUAUGAAAUAAUAUUUUUAUGAAAAUUUUGUUGGGGUGAUGGAAAAAAUUGAUAAACUUUUUCUAGUAGUGUCAUUUAUAUAUGUUUAUUGAUCCUUUAUUAUAGAUAAUAAGAUUAAGCUACCUUAGGGAUAACAGCGUUUAUUUUUUUGGAGAGUUCAUAUCGAUGAAAUAAGUUUGCGACCUCGAUGUUGGAUUAAAAUAAGUAGUGGGAGUAUAAUAUCACUAUACUAGG